AUCUAAGUACCCCGAGGAAAAGAAAUCAACCGAGAUUCCCCCAGUAGCGGCGAGCGAACGGGGAGGAGCCCAGAGCCUGAAUCAGCAUGUGUGUUAGUGGAAGCGUCUGGAAAGGCGCGCGAUACAGGGUGACAGCCCCGUACACAAAAGCGCAUGUGCUGUGAGCUCGAUGAGUAGGGCGGGACACGUGGUAUCCUGUCUGAAUAUGGGGGGACCAUCCUCCAAGGCUAAAUACUCCUGACUGACCGAUAGUGAACCAGUACCGUGAGGGAAAGGCGAAAAGAACCCCGGCGAGGGGAGUGAAAAAGAACCUGAAACCGUGUACGUACAAGCAGUGGGAGCACCCUUCGGGGUGUGACUGCGUACCUUUUGUAUAAUGGGUCAGCGACUUAUAUUCUGUAGCAAGGUUAACCGUAUAGGGGAGCCGUAGGGAAACCGAGUCUUAAC
rnacentral:rRNA from 1 species